rnacentral:rRNA from 1 species
UACGAAGGGUGCAAGCGUUACUCGGAAUUACUGGGCGUAAAGCGUGCGUAGGCGGGCUGUCAAGUCUGGGGUGAAAUGCCGCGGCUCAACCGUGGAACUGCCUUAGAUACUGACGGCCUCGAGGGAGGUAGGGGCGUGCGGAACUGUAGGUGGAGCGGUGAAAUGCGUUGAUAUCUACAGGAACUCCGGUGGCGAAAGCGGCGCGCUGGACCUCUUCUGACGCUGAGGCGCGAAAGCUAGGGGAGCAAACGGG